AUGGUACUCCCUCCGUCCCAAAAUUCUUGUCUUAGAUUUAUCUAAAUACGAAUGUAUCAAGUCACGUUUUAGUAUUAGAUACAUCCGUACCUAGACAAAUCUAAGACAAAAUUUUGGGACGGAGGGAGUAAAUA
rnacentral:pre_miRNA from 1 species